UUUUACAAUGAAGAGUUUGAUCCUGGCUCAGGAUGAACGCUAGCUACAGGCUUAACACAUGCAAGUCGAGGGGCAGCGGGAUUGAAGCUUGCUUCAAUCGCCGGCGACCGGCGCACGGGUGAGUAACGCGUAUCCAACCUUCCGUUUACUCAGGGAUAGCCUUUCGAAAGAAAGAUUAAUACCUGAUAGUAUGGUAAGAUUGCAUGAUA
rnacentral:rRNA from 1 species